CAGGACUUACAUGACUGACUGUGCAGUGC
rnacentral:piRNA from 1 species